rnacentral:misc_RNA from 1 species
GUCAGCUUCCAAUACUAAAAAGUGAUGUGUGGAGUCUUUUAGUAGAUUUGGGAGUUGAACAAAAUCGCAUUUUUACUUAUUAUCUUUUUCUUAUUCAGAAGUCUGAAAUAUUCAGAGCUUUGCUUGGAUGUCCAUGGAAAAAUCGCGAAGACUUGUUGUUGGACAUGAUUGGUCGUAAUGCACCAUAAAAUUAGUUAAGUUGAGAGUUGAAUAAAUGCAAUGAAAUGGAA